UUGGUGGUUUGGGCGCGUCGCGGGACACAGGCAGGCUUCUGUUCUUCUCGCAGUAGCCAGGCUGUCAGCACUCCUGCUGGUGAAGGCAGCUGAAACUAGGAGCUGCAAAAAAGCUGUAGAGUCCAGUUAAAGCCCAUUCUAGGGUUUCACAAGGAGAUGGUACAUCUGGCCAGUACGCGAAUACCACCUCAUAGUUCUUGCUCAGAUCAGGAUGUCAGCAGCCUUGGAGGUUGGGGGACAAUGCCCCAAAUUGUUGUCCUGAAGAUUCCUCCUUUUGUAUUCUUUUUCUCCUGAUGACUCUUCAU